rnacentral:rRNA from 1 species
UACGAAGGGGCUAGCGUUGCUCGGAAUCACUGGGCGUAAAGGGUGCGUAGGCGGGUCUUUAAGUCAGGGGUGAAAUCCUGGAGCUCAACUCCAGAACUGCCUUGAUACUGAAGAUCUUGAGUUCGGGAGAGGUGAGUGGAACUGCGAGUGUAGAGGUGAAAUUCGUAGAUAUUCGCAAGAACACCAGUGGCGAAGGCGGCUCACUGGCCCGAUACUGACGCUGAGGCACGAAGCGUGGGAGACAAC